rnacentral:rRNA from 1 species
UACGGAGGUGGCAAGCGUUGUUCGGAAUUACUGGGCGUAAAGGGCGCGUAGGCGGCUAGGCAAGUCAGGUGUGAAAGCCCCGAGCUUAACUCGGGAAUUGCAUCUGAAACUGCUGUGCUUGAGUUCUGGAGGGGGUAGUGGAAUUCCCAGUGUAGCGGUGAAAUGCGUAGAUAUCGGGAGGAACACCAGUGGCGAAGGCGACUUCCUGGCCUGUUCUUGACGCUGAGGCGCGAAAGCUAGGGUAGCAAACGGG